CCUACGUGUGGCAGCAGUGGGGAAUAUUGGGCAAUGGAGGCAACUCUGACCCAGCAACGCCGCGUGAAUGAUGAAGGUCUUCGGAUUGUUAAGUUCUGUGAUGGGGGAUGAACACAAUGACGGUACCCCAAUAGCAAGCCACGGCUAACUACGUGCCAGCAGCCGCGUUAAUACGUAGGUGGCAAGCGUUAUCCGGAAUGACUGGGCGUAAAGGGUGCGUAGGUGGUGUAGUAAGUUGGCGGUGUAAUUCCGGGGCUCAACCGCGGUACUACAGACAAAACUAUUAGACUUGAGUGCAGGAGGGGUAAGUGGAAUUCCUAGGGUAGCGGUGGAAUGCGUAGAUAUUAGGAGGAACAUCAGGGGCGAAGGCGACUUACUGGACUGUAACUGACACUGAGGCACGAAAGCGUGGGGAGCAAACAGGAUUAGAUACCCUUGUAGUC
rnacentral:rRNA from 1 species